CUCAGUGGGAGCAAAAAUGAAAAUAUUGGAAAUUUGAAAGUACUGCGCAGCUCGUAUGGUUGGGGUGUCGGUGAUGAUGUGGUUAUCGAAGUAUAAUAAAAGCUUUGCCGUUAUCACCAUUUAGAGAAAAUUAGUUUUGUAUUGUUUUAAUUAUUGAAAUCUAUCAUUGUGCAGUAUGAGUUGCAGAAAAACUUUGGAAGAUCUUCCCUUGGAAGUCAUUACAGAAAUUCUUGUGUGCUUGCCAGAUUCAGACCUUAUCACAUGUGUUUUGCAUAUUAACCCAUUAUGGAAACAAGCAGCACAGUGUCAGAGAGUGUGGUCUCAUAGAAAGUACCAAGUAUCUGAUGAAGCAAAAGAAGCAGAAAUUGUUGAAGUGGCUCAGAUAAUACCUCAGUUAACAACUCUGCAGUUUACUGACAUAUCUGAUGGUUUUGAGGCAACUUAUAGUGAUGAAACAUUACAUAUAUCUUGCAGUUUAAUUGCAAGGAAAGAAACGAUAAACUGUCUUCUUACAAAGUGCCUCAAUAUUACUAAGUUAUACCUCCCAAGCUUUUUGUUACAAAGAGAAGAUUUUGCUGAUAUGGUAGGUAGCAUGCAAAACCUAAGGUCCUUGUUUCCAGAGAGCACAAUAGGUUACAUUGAUUCAUCCCUUGUUUUGAAGCCCCUUGCUGAUGGUGCACCACAGCUGGAAGAAGUUGAUUUCUCUAAUCAAUAUUAUGAUAUUAAGGACAUAACAUACUUCAUGGACAAAAAGGGGCCACAGUUACACAGCCUUACUAUUAAUUGGUGUACAAAUGAUGAGAUUAGUGCAUUACCAUUACUAAAAAACUGCCAACAUUCUUUAAGAAAACUUGAAAUAUGUGUCAAUGGACAAGGGACAUUUGAAACUGCUGCAAUUCUUAGCACCUUGAAGGACCUUUCGGCUCUUACAGACCUCCACUUUCAAGGAGUUGCUAAUAUUGAUGCAGUAGAAAUAACAUGUGCUCUUCUGACAUCAUCAUUUACACAACUGAGAAGCUUUAGUAUUACAUGUGCAUUUUACAUACAAGAUGAUGUCUUAUUAGCAUUGUGUACCUGUUGUCCUUUGCUUCAGGAAAUAAAGCUGAGAGACUCACGAUAUAUUACUGCUAGAGGCUUAGAACUGAUAGAAAAUUGCACAGACUUGUUAAUACUGGAUCUAUCUGGAUGUGUGCGUAUCCAGGAAUUGGGUACUUUAGAACAGUGCACAAAGUUAAAUGCACUUUUCUUAACUGACUGCUGGAGAUUACAGCCAUCAGCCUUGAUGGGUAUCUUGCAACUCAGUGAACUAAGAACACUCCGGAUUGAUUCUUGUUGUACAUUAGGGUUUCCAUUUAGCAACCUGAAGACUUAUUUACCACAUCUUGAAUUUCUUGGAAUUAAUGCAUGUUAUGGAUCCACCUUGGAAGAGCUUGAAGAACUUCGAAAUUCAGCACCUGAACUUUUUGAGCUCUGGAAAUUUUAGAUUUAUCUGUUAGCACUGAUGGUGAAUGAUGACCUCUCAUAAAAAGUGAUUUGUUGUGACUGCUGUAUUGAGAGUAUUUACAGCACUAAUGGGUGCUAACACAAACAACUUCAUAGAAAAGGAUGAGAAGAUGAGAGGUCCGCAAAACCCCACAAUGGGUACAGUAGUACACAGAGUCUGGGUAGUAAAUGGCAUCUGUGAUGUGCUAUGGAAGAGGAAGAUGGUGAUCCACAGAUAUUUCAUCUAUGCCCACUACCUGUUGUAACUGUUAUUAAAAAGGAGCAUUGAUUCAUUUCACUGAAUGAUUUCACUUGGUGAAGAUUAGAAAGCAAGCAGAUUAAUAUGAGCACUUCAGGUACACUGGAAGAAUAACAACUUGGAAAUAAUAUUUUCAAAAAUCUUAAUGGUUUUCUUCUACUUGUCAGCAGAGUUUUCCACCAAGAAAAAACUUCAGCACCCAAAAUAUGAUUAAUUUUGUAUUAGUAGAGUUCCAACAUUGCAUUGACAGAAGGUCCUUUAUUUAAUGUUCCCAUUUCUUUAGUUUUCUGUCUUAGUUGUGUUUAUUUCUGAGGUAACUUUAACUAUUUUCAUUAUGCCUAAUGACCAUUAACUCAAGUAUGAGUGAAACUAAGGCAAAAAAUUAAAGAAAUAUUAAUGUUGUAUUAAUUCAAUGUACACAACUUAAUACUGAAUACUCUUGUGUGCAUUGCCAUAUGUAUGCGAAUUCUACUUAACAAGAAUUAAUGUCCUUUAUUCUUGUACUUUAUGUACUUCUGCUUGCCUGGUGAGGUGCUUAAGCAUCUGGAAACAUCUCUUUGUGUGAGCUUAUUUUAGAAUGUAAACAGAACGUUUUAUGAUAAAUAAAUA